AUCUGGAUAUCUACUGAGCUUCUAGGCUGAGACCAUUCAUAGUAGCCUUAGAUAUGGAUUCAGACACCCUGCAAGCCUUCCAGAAUGAGCUCAUUUGCCCAUUUGCAUGAACUACUUCAUAGACCCGGUCACCAUUGACUGUGGGCACAGCUUUAUGCGGCCUGCCUCUACUUCUGCUGGGAAGAAGGCAGGCACCAAUGCGCUGCCCUGAGUGCAGAAAAAUCUCAGCGAGCCCGCUUCAAACACCAUUUCGACUCAAAAAGCUGGGCUUUCCCUAGCCAGACUGACCAGACCUCAGCAACCAUCAACAACCACACAAUAUCUGUUGUGCUCCAUGAAGAGACUAAGGAGCUCUCUGUGAGGUUGACAAGCCAAUUGCUCUGUGGGCCUGCAUCUGAAGUCACACAGAGCCACAAUGGCUCACAGCCCAACAGUCCAAUAGCGAUGGGCUGCUGAGGAAUGCAGGGUAUCUUCUUGCUUCUUUUGCAGGCAGAAACUUAUAAACGAAUUGGACUAUUUUAUGGAAAAUCAAUCAAGAGACACAAAAUAAUCUAAAUCAGGAAACUAGCAAAUUUCGUUCGUUAGUGGACUAUGUCUCUUUAAGGAAGGUGAUAAUCACUAUUCAAUAUCAAAAGAUGCAUAUAUUUCUCGAUGAGGAGGAGCAACUGCAUCUGCAGGCACUGGAAAGAGAAGCAAAAGAGCUUUUCCAACAACUACAAGACAGUCAAGUGAGAAUGACCCAACAUUUAGAAAGGAUGAAAGACAUGUACAGAGAGCUGCGGGAAACGUGCCACAUGCCUGACGUGGAGCUGCUCCAGGAUGUGAGAAAUGUAUCGGCCAGGGCUGAUUUGGCACAGAUGCAAAAGCCCCAGCCAGUGAACCCAGAGCUCACUUCAUGGUGCAUAACUGGAGUCCUAGACAUGCUCAACAAUUUCAGAAUGGAUAAUGCUCUGAGCACGGAAAUGACUCCUUGCUCUAUAAGCCUUUCUGAGGAUGUGAGACGUGUGAUAUUUGGAGUUGACCAUCGCAGUGCACCCAUGGAUCCCCAGGGAGUGGAGAGCUUUGCUGUGUGGGGAGCACAAGCGUUCACCUCUGGCAGGCAUUACUGGGAAGUGGAUGUGACCCACUCCUCCACCUGGAUUCUGGGAGUCUGUAGAGAUUCCACGACAGCAGAUAGCAGUAUCGUUAUUGAUUCUGAUGAAACAUUUUUGUUAAUUUCCUCAAAGAGGAGCAAUCGCUAUAGUCUCUCCAUCAACUCUCCACUUUUAAUUCAGCAUGUGCAAAGGCCUCUGGGUCGGGUUGGGGUGUUUCUGGAUUAUGAUAAUGGAUCUGUGAGUUUUUUUGAUGUUUCUAAAGGUUCUCUUAUCUAUGGUUUUCCUCCUUCCUCCUUCUCUUCCCCUCUGAGGCCUUUCUUUUGCUUUGGUUGUACAUGAAAAGUUGGUUUCAUGAUGAUUUAUUGUGACCCCCCAUAUAUGAUGCAAAUAGUGUCCUGAGACCCGAUGUGUGAGAGCCUGUGAGCUCCUUGUAACUUCAUGGAAUGUAAUUACUUUAUGGUUAUACAUGGGAUAACCACCUUGAAUAUGUACAUUUGUUAAUUAAUUUAUUUUAAUUAAUAAGUUAUUGUGAAAUCUUUACUAGAGCAUCAAUAAUGGCUUUUCUUGUACAAGUUUUGUUGAGAUUCAUUCACUUACCCUGAAAGUCAUGUUCUAAUGUAUUUAAUUCAGAGAAUUUAGUAUAUUGCACUUGUGCAGCCAUCAGAACUCUCUACAACCUGGGCACUUUUAUCACUUCCAGAAGUAUCCCAAUACCCAUUAACAUUUAUUCUCCACUCACCUUGCCCCAUGCCUUCAUAACACUUAAUCUACUUUUUAUGUUUUUGCAUUCAGGUAAAUAAAAUCAUACAAUAUAAGUUCUUUUUAAAUCAGGUUUCUUUUUCAGAGAUUAUGUUUUUAGUUUGUACAUACUGUAAACCAUUUGUCUUACUUGUACAUUUGAACAGGCUGGGGUAGAAAAAUGAAGUGGUGGAUAUCUUAUGUAUCUUUAUAUAUAUAAAAAAGAGUGCUUAUUUUCUUUUUAAGUCUGACCAAGUUAAGUUGACCUCACAGACUUUACUAUUUCGCAACAUCCUAGUUAUUAAUCACAUUUCAGCUCAUACAACAGUUUCUCAGUGCUGGGUUGUUCUGCUAUUACAAAUUCUCUGAGUAUAUUAUAUCAGAUUAUAAUAUUCAGAAAACUCUUAUUCUUAUUACUACCAGAUUGAAAAUUCCAAGGGGGUAAUGGCACUAUUUGUCUUCUUUGCUAAUAUAUUACCAUUAUCCAAUGCAAUUUUUAGAAUAGAUAACACAAUAAAUAAAAUGAAUAAAUGGAUAAGUAGAGGAGUUAUGUAAUACUAUUCUAACAUUAAGAAACUUUUUCAAAAUGUAAGUAACCAAAUAGGAUAGAACAUACUAAUGAAUAUCUAUCAAAAGAUAAGAAAUAAAUUGAUUUUCAGAUUCCUGUCAAAGAUAAUACUGUUAUGUUAGGGUUUAAAAUAAUUGUAGCAUGAUUUUUAUAGGGUUGAUUUCAAUUGUCUUAGGUUUUUUAAUAUAAACCAUUGAAAGAGGAAGGUUCCUAUGUAAGAUGACGGGGAACAGGAACAGGACUUAGAAUAAUGGAGACUGUCCUGAUUUUAACUGAUGUAUACGUUUAAUUACUUACUAAGCAUAAAGUGGUAUAAAUAUUCUUAUGCAGUAGAAAGAACAACAUUAGUUUAAAUUUUAAAUAAGAAUCCAGAUGAUACAGAAUGGAAAAUUCUAUAAUAGAAUGUGAAAGCUACGUCUCCUAAGGCACCAGCUUACCUGCUUUAACAAAGACCACAAAUUUGAAAUGAUUCAGAAGGUGCAUUGCUCUCACAUGUUUGUACCAAUAUAGGAGUUGGUCAAGAAGAAGACUAACAUCUUCAAUAAGUGAAUUUUUUCUCUGUGUGCAGAAAACUCCCAUUUAUUGCCAUGACCCAUGCAGCAGGAAAGCCAAAAGAAAAGCAGGAUGGACAAGAGUAUUUGGCUAUAAGGAAAUCAUCUGGUGUUCUUCACAAUGCUUUGAUUCCCAUCCUAUAGGUUCAAAAUUAGGCACAUGGCACACCAAGAUGUAAGAUAUAUCUGGUAAUGCUGUUUACAUUCAAAACAAUAUUUAUUCUCAUCAUUUGAUUCAGAAAACAAAUUAAAUGACUGGCACAACAGAAAAUAACCCAAGAGAUUUGUUCAACGAAACAAAGCAGAACCUCAACCAAAGAGAUAAGGUGCUGCUUAAGAUUAUCAUCAGUCCUUAGUAUUCCAGAGUGAGUAAACCCUGCUUUUUAUCACUGUCAAAGUGUCCAGUGUUGUCCUUUUCAGAGCCUGGCUAGCUGAGGGUUAUGUGGCAAGAAACAUCUUACUUGUAUUUUAGUCCCUUAAAUGAAUGAUUUAGAUAGGAAUGAUUCUCCAAAUUUUGAAAAUACUUCUCAGAAAUGUUCUCUUAUUCCUUCACUUUAUACCACAUAGACUUUAUAAUAAUCUCUCUCUUCUGCCUGCACAUGUUUAUUGCAGAACAUUAGGGAUUAGCAGAGAGAAAGCUUCUCACCCGCAUCUUUUGGACUCACUGCUUUUUUCCAAGUGAUCUGAGAUGAUAAAAUUAUUCACCUUAGGGCUCCAACCCAGCACUCCUUUUUGAUUUUCACCUAUGUUUUGUGAGCUUUUCUGUUGAUGCUAAAACUCUAUGCAAUAGUCAACGCCUCAUAAUUUAAUUACAUUAGUUGUUCCUAGUUUGCAAGGAAAAAUUUAUUCCUGACAUUCUUCUAAUUUAGCUCAGAUUCACUUUUGCAGAAAGACAGAAUUAGCUACCUUACGAUCAUUUAGCAUUUGACUCUGAUUUUGGAAGAUGAAAAAAUGUUUGUGUCUAUUUAGCAUACUUUCUUAGCCAUUUAACCAAGAUAAUCUUAUUCUAUUGAUUCUCCUAGAGAUACCGUAGUUAUUUAUUCUCUUCACCUGUCAAAAUUUAUGUUAGACUGUCACCAAGACUUACUUAAAAUUGAAAUAAAUCAAAGAGACACCACUAAGAACAUUGUCAAUCAUUAAUCCAGAAAU